GCAAAGAAAGCGACUAGGAGAGUAAAAGCGAAAGUUAGCACAGGGAGCUUGCAGCUAGUGAGAGCAAGACUAAUGGAAACUUUGAAAAUGGCCUAGAAAUCGCGUAACAGUGAGUUUACUUUCUAAAUAAACUGUUAACGGAGUGGUUCUCGUUAUUGAACACAUUAUUUUUGGGGCAGUCUUGCUUGUCACCAAAGAUAAUUAGCAAGACGUAAGACAUCCUUUUUUGGUAUUUUACGUGAAAUUAGAAUGGUACCACGAUAAUUCGUUUCUAUU
rnacentral:ncRNA from 1 species